ensembl:lncRNA
GAAGCUCUUGACCUAUCUGCUUGAUUUUAUGCAAAAUGUGCACAGUGAGUGUAUAUGUAACGGACAGUGAGUGUAUAUGUAACUGACAGUGAGUGUAUGUGUAGUGGACAGUGAGUGUAGGUGUAGUGAACAGUGAGUGUAUAUGUAACGGACAGUGAGUGUAUAUGUAACGGACAGUGAGUGUGUGUGUAGUGGACAGUGAGUGUAUAUGUACGGACAGUGAGUGUGUGUGUCGUGGACAGUGAGUGUAUGUGUAGUGGACAGUGAGUGUAUAUGUAACGGACAGUGAGUGUAUAUGUAACGGACAGUGAGUGUGUUGUCGUGGACAGUGAGUGUAUGUGUAGUGGACAGUGAGUGUAUAUGUAACGGACAGUGAGUGUAUAUGUACGGACAGUGAGUGUAUUUGUAACGGACAGUGAGUGUGUGUGUAAGUGGACAGUGAGUGUAUGUGUAGUGGACAGUGAGUGUAUGUGUAGUGGACAGUGAGUGUAUGUGUAGUGGACAGUGAGUGUAUAUGUAACGGACAGUGAGUGUGUGUGUAGUGGACAGUGAUGGUGUGUGUGUGUAGUGGACAGUGAGUGUAUGUGUAGUGGACAGUGAGUGUAUAUGUAACGGACAGUGAGUGUGUGUGUGUAGUGGACAGUGAGUGUGUGUGUAGUGACAGUGAGUGUGUGUGUAGUGGACCAGUGAGUGUAUAUGUAACGGACAGUGAGUGUAUAUGUACCGGACAGUGAGUGUAUGUGUAGUGGACAGUGAGUGUAUGUGUAGUGGACAGUGAGUGUAUGUGUAGUGGACAGUGAGUGUAUGUGUAGUGGACAGUGAUUGUAUGUAUAGUGGGCAGUGAGUGAAUAUGCAACGGUCAGUGAGUGUAUAUGUAGUCACUUCAAGGUUAAACAUGGUGAGAAAAAAGUGACUCAAGUAAGUUAACUGAACUGAACAUUAACUGAAGCUCUUGACCUAUCUGCUUGAUUUAUGCAAAACGUGGACAGUGAGUGUAUGUGUAGUGGACAGUGAGUGUAUGUGUAGUGGACAGUGAGUGUAUAUGCAACAGUCAGUGAGUGUAUAUGUAACGGUCAGUGAGUGUAUAUGCAGUGGUCAGUGAGUGUAUAUGUAGUGGUCAGUGAGUGUAUAUGUAGUCACUUCAAGGUUAAACAUGGUGAGAAAAAGUGACUCAAGUAAGACACAGAUAUCUUUUAUGUGUGAUGCCAAAAGAAAGUCCCAGAGCUCAUCUUUGAAAAUGUUGACCACCAGCUUGCUAACCAUGUUAAGGGUAC